AUGCAGCCAUAACCUGGAAAGGAAAGAGGUCGUGGGCGAUGAGCACUCGAUAGGGAUGCCGGCUGUGGUCCCCCCCUUCCCCCAACGAGGCCUCUGGCAGAAGACCGCCCUCUAGUGGCUGAGAUUGAGGGACCGGCUCCCGCCUGUGCUCUGGCUGGCUUUGCUCCUCAUCCGCUGGGGGUCUUGAACAAGUCCCUUUACCUCUGUGCCCACUCUUUUCUGGGAAAUGGAACAUUAAAAGAGGCAGUCACCUUAGGCCUCUUGGGGCUGGGACAGUUCUGAGAACCCCUAUCCUGCCCCAGAGGAAGCUUGGUUUUCUCCGGUUCCUCAGCUCUGCCCUUGACCAAUACGAUGCUUCCAAAUCCACUGGGAAGAACGUUACGCACUCUUCCCCUGCCCAAAGGUGUCUUGAGACACCCUGCGUGCCAGGCCUUGCACUGGAAUCUGAGUCUGCCCAGGCCCUGCCUUUCGGUGGAGACGACGAUGCAGGAAAGUCAGUGGAGACACGACAUGAACGGCGGCAAAAGAGGCAGCGUGCGUGAGAGAGGGCAGUCAGGACUGGAAAAGCGUGUGCAAGGCAGGGAGAGGCGGGAGAGCAGGGUGUGCUGGGAGAACAGGACCAGCUAGUCCAGAGGUUGUAAAUGCAAAUGCCUAGAGGGGCCAGAUGUGAGACAAGAGCGUUGGCUUGGCCUGGAGAGGAAGCGUUCUGUCCAAAAGUACAGGCCUUGUUCCUCUCCAGACAAUAUGCCGCCUUGCAGGGAUUCUGGCUCAGAGUGAAUGUAGCUCUCCUGAUUGUCCAAGAGAAGUUGGGAAUACAGAUUUAGACGACAUUUAGACACUCUGCAGACGUUUGUACGGACGACGUCCACUCACAGGACAAAAAAACCUCCAGGGCUGUGGGUCCCACUCCUUUAUUUCCCUGCGCCUUCACACAUGCUGUUCCCUCUGCCAGGAAUUCCGUCAUCCCUCACAUCUGUGCCCUCUUGCCAUGGCUAACGUUUCAUCAGGACUUCCUCCCCCUGGCCACUCUCUCCGGAGUCGGUGGUCCUGACCUGCACUCCUGGGUUCACUCCAUUCUCCUGCGUUAAAGAAUCCACCCUACAAUACCUGUUCCCCACCUUGCCUCGGGCCACGGGGUCUGGGCAUCUCUCCCGGAUGUCAGGGGGCGUCGGGGUGUGUGGCUGAGGAGGACACACCCUGCCUGGCCGCUGAACUUGAGGACACUGGACAAGAAGACAGACACAGGUCCCUUCCCUCCUGCUGUUCCACAAGAAACCUGUUAGCAAGAGAAUGUGACAAGUUUGAAUUGUCACACAUGCCCUGAAGUUCUGGGGGAAGGCCCUGGAAGAGUGAAGACUGACAUUUCAGCUGGGGAACGGAAGCCAGUCAAGGCCCGUCAUGUAAUUAAGUGAGACAAUCUCUCCGUGGCUCAAGGAACAGCGCCUGGCACAAUGUCACCCACUCAUUCAUUCAACAAACAUCUGCUGGGGCUGAGCCGGGCCCACAGACCCAGAGGAUGAAGGCCUGGCCCCCACCUACGGCUUCAGGCCUGCAACUCCAUAGCUCUCAACUUUUCCUCCGAGGUUUCCUUUUCCUCAGGUGUGGAAAGCCCCGUGCCUGUGCACACACCGUUCCCUCUGCCCAGCACAACUUUCCCACCUCGGCUUUCUGUGAUCCCUUAGUCACCAUUCAAGCCCCUGUGAAGCUGUAAUACUGUUAAUUAUAAUAAGAAAUACAUAUUUGGUUUUCAUCUCAUCCCUGGCAUGGAACCCUGAAAACUCUUAGAUUUUCCUAAGUGAUCACAUUGAUAGAAGUGAAAGGAACAUUUUUUGUUCUUCCCAACAAGCCCCUUUGAAUCACAUUUAAGUUCACAUUAACGAUGGGGCACCUGGCUGGCUCGGUCGGUUAAGCAUCUGACUUUGGCUCAGGUGGUGAUCUCAUAGUUCGUGAGUUCUAACCCCAUGUCAGGCUCUGUCCUGACAGCUCAGUGCC